UGCUUGCCGUUUUUAUUUUCCUUGUGACAGACAGACAGACAGCUGCACAGACAGCUGGAUGGCUGGGGGGAUGGUCAGGACAACAUGGGCAAUAGGGAUUGGAUGGAAGGGAAAUUUCAUAAAAGUCAAUAAAUAAAUAAAUACGAAUGGGAAGAAGGGCGAAGGCCACGGAGCGGUGGUGGGGACAUCCUUGGGCCAGCUCAGAGUGCCCACAGCUGCAUCCACUGGGACAGGAGGAGAGCACUGGCUUCAGUUCCCA